rnacentral:rRNA from 1 species
UGGGGAAUUUUGCACAAUGGGGGAAACCCUGAUGCAGCGACGCCGCGUGAUUUAGAAGGCCUUCGGGUUGUAAAAAUCUUUUCUAUGGUAAGAAAAUGACAGUACCAUAGGAAUAAGGACCGGCUAAUUACGUGCCAGCAGCCGCGGUAAUACGUAAGGUCCGAGCGUUGUCCGGAAUCAUUGGGCGUAAAGGGUACGUAGGCGGGUAAGCAAGUUAGAAGUGAAAUCCUGUAGCUCAACUACAGUAAGCUUUUAAAACUGCUCAUCUUGAGAUAUGGAAGGGAAAGUGGAAUUCCUAGUGUAGCGGUGAAAUGCGCAGAUAUUAGGAGGAAUACCGGUGGCGAAGGCGACUUUCUGGCCAUAAUCUGACGCUGAGGUACGAAAGCGUGGGUAGCAAACAGG